ensembl:ncRNA T05H4.16 ncRNA
UAUUCAAUUUUCCACGAACCUAUAAAACAGCACUCAAAACGGUGAUAACUUUUUGCACGUGUAA